rnacentral:rRNA from 1 species
GAUGAACGCUAGCGGCAGGCUUAACACAUGCAAGUCGAGGGGCAGCGAGAGAGUAGCAAUACUUUUGUCGGCGACCGGCGGACGGGUGCGUAACGCGUAUGCAACCUACCUUAUACAGGGGGAUAACCUUUCGAAAGGGAGACUAAUACCGCAUAACAUUACUUUGAGGCAUCUUGAGGUAAUUAAAUCUUCGGAGGUAUAAGAUGGGCAUGCGUAGCAUUAGCUAGAUGGUGCGGUAACGGCGUACCAUGGCGACGAUGCUUAGGGGUUCUGAGAGGAAGGUCCCCCANACUGGUACUGAGAUACGGACCAGACUCCUACGGGAGGCAGCAGUGAGGAAUAUUGGUCAAUGGUCGGAAGACUGAACCAGCCAUGCCGCGUGCAGGAAGAAUGUCUUAUGGAUUGCAAACUGCUUUUGAUGGGGCUAAUAAUAACUUUGCGAAGUUAGAUGCAGGUACCAUACGAAUAAGGAUCGGCUAAC